rnacentral:sRNA from 1 species
AUAUAUAAAUGUCUAGCGUUUUUUUUCAGAUUUCACCAAACAAUUAUUUCGAAGCUAAACCUCGUAAUGAUUACAGAUUUUAUGGUUUGAGACUGGUUUCUUUUGACAAUGGAACACCGGAAUUUAUCUAUUUUCCAGAUGUGAAUAUUGAUCAAUUAAGUGUUUUAUUAUCAAUUUUUAGGGCAAAAAUUAUGUAUAAUGUUGGUAAUAUAAAUAACCUUUAUGAUAAAUGGUAUAAUAAUAUUAUUGUUGUUUAUUAAAGAUUGUAAAGAUCAGUAAGUUUUACAUCAUUAAUUUCAACAUUAUUUCUUGAGAAUGGUUUUAAGGAAAUAAAACUAAUAUGAGUGCAUUUCACAUUAAACAUUUUCAGUAUGAGAACUAAUUCUUGAACACUAUCGUCAAACAAUUUACAAUUGUUAUAAUAAUUGUCUAAACAUUCCAUUUGAAAAUUAACACUAUUUCCACCAUGAGAAAAUAAAAUAGUUUUUCUAGAAUAACUAUCAUAAUUUAUUGGCUGGAUAUUAUCAAUUAAAUUAAUGUUUCCUCUAAAUCCCAUAUAGUGACAACCAUUAAUAUCGUACAGUUUUAAAAAGAAAACUCCUUGUGUUUUCCGCAUAAUACCAAGAUAAUAUAGAUGGGUUACAUUCAUAAUUUCACCUUGAUGGUCUACAUAAUAAACAAUCUUGAUACAAUUUAUGAGACUAAAAAUUAUCUUCCACAUAGUAAGAUAAAAUUUAUAUGCGUGGGGAAAUAUAGUCAUAAAAAUUUUAAACAAUAAUUUUCCAAUAUAGUCCAGAAAUUGUUCCAUUAACAUUGAUACAUAUUAAUAUUAUUUAGCAAAAAACGUGAACUCAUUAUUUAUUUUGUCGAAAUUUGAAAAUAUACAUUAAUGAUUAUAUUACACUUAUAUUAUCGCGCAAUUUUUUUAUUGACAAGAUUAAAUUCACAAAAUAUUUUCCAUGGACAAGUAACUAUAGACAAUAUAUAAUGAAACAUGUCGAUGUUUAUAAAAAUAUUGGAAAAUUGAUGAUCCACAUAUACAAUUUCACCUCUAUCAUUUAUGUGAAAUACAAAUUUUUCACGAUAUAGAAGAUUGAUAAAUGUGUUCCAUGAAAUAAUACAAAUUUUAUGAAUGCCAUUAAAUAUAAUCAUAAACAAUUCAUAAAAAAAUUUGAAAAUACAAUAGAAAAAUUUGAAAAUACAAUAGAAAAAUUUGAAAAUACGAUAAAAAAUUUGUUUCAUUUAUAUUAACAUAUAUGUGUGUGUAUGUGCUAAUA